rnacentral:rRNA from 1 species
UACGUAGGGUGCGAGCGUUGUCCGGAAUUAUUGGGCGUAAAGGGCUCGUAGGCGGUCUGUCACGUCGGGAGUGAAAACACGGGGCUUAACCCCGUGCCUGCUUCCGAUACGGGCAGACUAGAGGUAUGCAGGGGAGAACGGAAUUCCUGGUGUAGCGGUGAAAUGCGCAGAUAUCAGGAGGAACACCGGUGGCGAAGGCGGUUCUCUGGGCAUUACCUGACGCUGAGGAGCGAAAGCAUGGGGAGCGAACAGG